CAGUCGCCGCGGGAAUACAGAGGGUGCAAGCGUUAAUCGGAAUUACUGGGCGUAAAGCGCGCGUAGGUGGUUUGUUAAGUUGGAUGUGAAAGCCCCGGGCUCAACCUGGGAACUGCAUCCAAAACUGGCAAGCUAGAGUACGGUAGAGGGUGGUGGAAUUUCCUGUGUAGCGGUGAAAUGCGUAGAUAUAGGAAGGAACACCAGUGGCGAAGGCGACCACCUGGACUGAUACUGACACUGAGGUGCGAAAGCGUGGGGAGCAAACAGGAUUAGAUACCCCUGUAGUCCCUGUCUAUUAUAA
rnacentral:rRNA from 1 species